GCGAACAGGAUUAGAUACCCUGGUAGUCCAUGCCGUAAACGUUGGGCACUAGGUGUGGGGGACAUUCCACGUUUUCCGCGCCGUAGCUAACGCAUUAAGUGCCCCGCCUGGGGAGUACGGCCGCAAGGCUAAAACUCAAAGGAAUUGACGGGGGCCCGCACAAGCGGCGGAGCAUGCGGAUUAAUUCGAUGCAACGCGAAGAACCUUACCAAGGCUUGACAUAUACCGGAUCGUUCCAGAGAUGGUUCUUCCCCUUUGGGGUCGGUAUACAGGUGGUGCAUGGUUGUCGUCAGCUCGUGUCGUGAGAUGUUGGGUUAAGUCCCGCAACGAGCGCAACCCUCGUUCCAUGUUGCCAGCACGUGAUGGUGGGGACUCAUGGGAGACUGCCGGGGUCAACUCGGAGGAAGGUGGGGAUGACGUCAAAUCAUCAUGCCCCUUAUGUCUUGGGCUUCACGCAUGCUACAAUGGCCGGUACAAAGGGUUGCGAUACUGUGAGGUGGAGCUAAUCCCAAAAAGCCGGUCUCAGUUCGGAUUGAGGUCUGCAACUCGACCUCAUGAAGUCGGAGUCGCUAGUAAUCGCAGAUCAGCAACGCUGCGGUGAAUACGUUCCCGGGCCUUGUACACACCGCCCGUCAAGUCACGAAAGUCGGUAACACCCGA
rnacentral:rRNA from 1 species